rnacentral:rRNA from 1 species
GAUGAACGCUAGCGGCAGGCCUAAUACAUGCAAGUCGAACGGUGUCUUCGGACAUAGUGGCGCACGGGUGCGUAACACGUAUGCAACCUACCUUACAUUGGGGGAUAGCCUUUCGAAGGGGAGAUUAAUACCGCAUAAGACAGUAGCUGGGCAUCCAGCAGCUGUUAAAGAUUUAUCGAUGUAAGCUGGGCAUGCGUCCAAUUAGCUAGUUGGUGAGGUAACGGCUCACCAAGGCAAUGAUUGGUAGGGGAACUGAGAGGUCAAUCCCCCACACUGUCACUGAGAUACGGGCCAGACUCCUACGGGAGGCAGCAGUAGGGAAUAUUGGGCAAUGGACGCAAGUCUGACCCAGCCAUGCCGCGUGCAGGAUGAAGGCGUUAUGCGUUGUAAACUGCUUUUAUACAGGAAGAAACGACUCUUGCGAGAGGCAUUGACGGUACUGUAUGAAUAAGCACCGGCUAACUCCGUGCCAGCCGCCGCAGUAAGAC